CUAACAUACCGACUAACGAGUCACUGCGAUUGAAGGACGUUGUUUUCGAUCCGGAUGUUCCAGCAUUAUUGCGGGUUUUUAAGGGACGAGCUUCUCACGGCUAUCAUGGAUUAGUUUGGUUUGUUUUUUUUUCGGAGUUUUCAGAACAUUCAUCACACUGUGUGGUUUGAUACGGCAUUUCUAGCAUAGUGCGACGUGAGUGUCACUGACAUCAACAGAUAUCUCGAUCUAGAACAAUCUUCGCAUGGGUUCUGAAUACUGAAGCUUCCGGCCAAGUUACUAACGCUGUCUGCAUGAGGACCGACUAACGAGUCACUGCGAUUGAAGGACGUUGUUCUCGAUCCGGAUGUUCCAGCAUUAUUGCGGGUUUUUUAGGGACGAGCAA